CCUACGGGAGGCAGCAGUGGGGAAUAUUGGACAAUGGGCGAAAGCCUGAUCCAGCAAUGCCGCGUGAGUGAUGAAGGCCUUCGGGUCGUAAAGCUCUUUUACCAGGGAUGAUAAUGACAGUACCUGGAGAAUAAGCUCCGGCUAACUCCGUGCCAGCAGCCGCGGUAAUACGGAGGGAGCUAGCGUUGUUCGGAAUUACUGGGCGUAAAGAGUACGUAGGCGGUUAUUCAAGUCAGAGGUGAAAGCCCGGGGCUCAACCCCGGAACUGCCUUUGAAACUAGAUAACUAGAGUCUUGGAGAGGUUAGUGGAAUUCCGAGUGUAGAGGUGAAAUUCGUAGAUAUUCGGAAGAACACCAGUGGCGAAGGCGACUAACUGGACAAGUACUGACGCUGAGGUACGAAAGCGUGGGGAGCAAACAGGAUUAGAUACCCUGGUAGUCCACGCCGUAAACGAUGAUAACUAGUUGUUCGGUCACUUGGUGACUGAGUGACGCAGCUAACGCAUUAAGUUAUCCGCCUGGGGAGUACGGUCGCAAGNUUAAAACUUAAAUGAAUUGACGG
rnacentral:rRNA from 1 species